ACCCGGCUAGCUCAGUCAGUAGAGCAUGAGACUCUUAAUCUCAGAGUCAUAGGUUCGAGUCCAAUGUUGGGUG